rnacentral:rRNA from 1 species
UCUACGGGUGGCAGCAGUGGGGAAUAUUGCACAAUGGGGGAAACCCUGAUGCAGCAACGCCGCGUGAGUGAAGAAGGAUUUCGGUAUGUAAAGCUCUAUCAGCAGGGAAGAGGAAAGACGGUUCCUGACUAAAAAGCCCCGGCUAACUACGUGCCCGCAGCCGCGGUAAUACGAUGGGGGCAAGCGUUAUUCGGAUUUACUGGGUGUAAAGGGAGCGUAGACGGCUGUGCAAGUCUGAAGUGGAAGCCCGGGGCUCAACCUCGGAGCUGCAUUUGAAAAUGUAGAGCGUAGGUACUGGAGAGGAUGGCGGAAUACAUAGUGUAUCGGGGAAAUGCGUAGAUAUAAGGAAGAACACCAGUGGCGAAGGCGG